GACGUAGGGCGCGAGCGUUGUCCGGAUUUAUUGGGCGUAAAGAGCUCGUAGGCGGCUUGUCGCGUCGUCCGUGAAAACCUGGGGCUCAACCCCCAGGCUUGCGGUCGAUACGGGCAGGCUAGAGUUCGGUAGGGGAGACUGGAAUUCCUGGUGUAGCGGUGAAAUGCGCAGAUAUCAGGAGGAACACCGGUGGCGAAGGCGGGUCUCUGGGCCGAUACUGACGCUGAGGAGCGAAAGCGUGGGGAGCGAACAGG
rnacentral:rRNA from 1 species